rnacentral:lncRNA from 11 species
CUGCUCUAGAGUCAAGAACAUGGAGCAAUGGAAUCAAACUACAGGAAAAGAGAUGUCUCCAGAAUAUUAGGAAGAACUUCCUGGUGAUAAAAGUUGUUUGACAGUGGAAUGCGCUGCCUUAGAGUGUGUCUUAGGGCCUAAUUGCAAGAGAAAGCUAAAUUGGAACUGCAUCAAGCGAUCACCUUGGAAACUGCAUUCAAGAACAUGGUUCCGAACCAAUGGGUGUGGAUGGCUGACCACUGAUCUCAUGCAUUUCAUCUUGGCUCCCCCUGUACUGAUAAGAAGGAAUAUGGUCUACAUUUCAUAAAGAUUUCCUGGAAACAGAGAUCAAGAAGCCGAAGAAAUGGUUCCUCCGGCAGGAUGGAGAAUCUACCAGAGACCAAUAUUUUCUCAUUAAUUUAUAGAGAGACCUGCAUGUGACUAUUCCUGUUAAUUAAAAUCUGUGGUGAACAAAGCGAGGUAACUGGGCUUUGGGCCAAACCUUUCCAUGGAGAUGAGGAAAUGAGCCCGCAAAAGCCAUGGAUGACCUCCAACCUAAGGAACAUUUAAUUGCAAAUUCACACCUCCCUCCCUGCUCCCAUCAAACCUUCCAAAUAUUAAGUCACACAUUCUGCGAACAAAUAUUCUAAACUUUGCUUGCCUUAGGAGACACACUUCCCAAACUACCCAUUAUGUCUUCUGAGAUUAUAAAGAGAGCUUCAAAUCCUCUAGUCAAGAACAUGAGCCUAC